rnacentral:misc_RNA from 1 species
AAGUCGUAACAAGGUUUCCGUAGGUGAACCUGCGGAAGGAUCAUUAUCGAGUUUUGAACGGGUUGUAGCUGGCCUCUCACGAGGCAUGUGCACGCCUGGCUCAUCCACUCUUAACCUCUGUGCACUUUAUGUAAGAGAAAAAAAUGGUGGAAGCUUCCAGGAUCUCGCGAGAGGUCUUCGGUUGAAUAAGCCGUUUUUCUUUCUUAUGUUUUACUACAAACGCUUCAGUUAUAGAAUGUCAACUGUGUAUAACACAUUUAUAUACAACUUUCAGCAACGGAUCUCUUGGCUCUC